rnacentral:rRNA from 1 species
UACGUAGGGUGCAAGCGUUGUCCGGAAUUAUUGGGCGUAAAGAGCUCGUAGGCGGUCUGUCGCGUCUGCUGUCGAAACUCAGGGCUUAACCCUGAGCUUGCAGUGGGUACGGGCAGACUAGAGUGCGGUAGGGGAGACUGGAAUUCCUGGUGUAGCGGUGAAAUGCGCAGGAUAUCAGGAGGAACACCGGUGGGCGGAAAGGCGGGUCUCUGGGCCGUA